rnacentral:rRNA from 1 species
UACGGAGGGUGCAAGCGUUAUCCGGAUUCACUGGGUUUAAAGGGUGCGUAGGCGGGCAGGUAAGUCAGAGGUGAAAUCUCCGGGCUUAACCCGGAAACUGCCUUUGAUACUAUCUGUCUUGAAUAUGGUGGAGGUAAGCGGAAUAUGUCAUGUAGCGGUGAAAUGCUUAGAGAUGACAUAGAACACCUAUUGCGAAGGCAGCUUACUACGCCUAUAUUGACGCUGAGGCACGAAAGCGUGGGGAGCGAACAGG